UACGGAGGGCGCGAGCGUUAAUCGGAAUUACUGGGCGUAAAGCGCGCGUAGGCUGUUGUGUAAGUUGGGGGUGAAAUCCCACGGCUCAACCGUGGAACAGCCCUUGAUACUGCGCGACUUGAAUCCGGGAGAGGGUGGCGGAAUUCCAGGUGUAGGAGUGAAAUCCGUAGAUAUCUGGAGGAACAUCAGUGGCGAAGGCGGCUUACUGGACAGUAACUGACGUUGAGGCUCGAAAGCGUGGGGAGCAAACAGG
rnacentral:rRNA from 1 species